GGAUUUAUUGGGUUUAAAGGGUCCGUAGGCGGAUCUGUAAGUCAGUGGGUGAAAUCUCACAGCUUAACUGUGAAACUGCCAUUGAUACUGCAGGUCUUGAGUGUUGUUGAAGUAGCUGGAAUAAGUAGUGUAGCGGUGAAAUGCAUAGAUAUUACUUAGAACACCAAUUGCGAAGGCAGGUUACUAAGCAACAACUGACGCUGAUGGACGAAAGCGUGGGGAGCGAACAGGAUUAGAUACCCUGGUAGUCCACGCCGUAAACGAUGCUAACUCGUUUUUGGAAUGUAAGUUUCAGAGACUAAGCGAAAGUGAUAAGUUAGCCACCUGGGGAGUACGAACGCAAGUUUGAAACUCAAAGGAAUUGACGGGGGCCCGCACAAGCGGUGGAUUAUGUGGUUUAAUUCGAUGAUACGCGAGGAACCUUACCAAGGCUUAAAUGGGAAAUGACAGGUUUAGAAAUAGACUUUUCUUCGGACAUUUUUCAAGGUGCUGCAUGGUUGUCGUCAGCUCGUGCCGUGAGGUGUUAGGUUAAGUCCUGCAACGAGCGCAACCCCUGUCACUAGUUGCCAUCAUUAAGUUGGGGACUCUAGUGAGACUGCCUACGCAAGUAGAGAGGAAGGUGGGGAUGACGUCAAAUCAUCACGGCCCUUACGCCUUGGGCCACACACGUAAUACAAUGGCCGGUACAGAGGGCAGCUACACUGCGAAGUGAUGCAAAUCUCGAAAGCCGGUCUCAGUUCGGAUUGGAGUCUGCAACUCGACUCUAUGAAGCUGGAAUCGCUAGUAAUCGCGCAUCAGCCAUGGCGCGGUGAAUACGUUCCCGGGCCUUGUACACACCGCCCGUCAAGCCAUGGAAGUCUGGGGUACCUGAAGUCGGUGACCGUAACAGGAGC
rnacentral:rRNA from 1 species